AUACGGAGGAUCCGAGCGUUAUCCGGAUUUAUUGGGUUUAAAGGGAGCGUAGGCGGACGCUUAAGUCAGUUGUGAAAGUUUGCGGCUCAACCGUAAAGUUGCAGUUGAUACUGGGUGUCUUGAGUACAGUAGAGGCAGGCGGGAUUCGUGGUGUAGCGGUGAAAUGCUUAGAUAUCACGAAGUACUCCGAUUGCGAAGGCAGCCUGCUGGACUGUAACUGACGCUGAUGCUCGAAAGUGUGGGUAUCAAACAGGAUUAGAUACCCUGGUAGUCCACACAGUAAACGAUGAAUACUCGCUUUUUGCGAUAUACAGUAAGCGGCCAAGCGAAAGCGUUAAGUAUUCCACCUGGGGAGUACGCCGGCAACGGUGAAACUCAAAGGAAUUGACGGGG
rnacentral:rRNA from 1 species